AUUGAACGCUGGCGGCAGGCCUAACACAUGCAAGUCGAGCGGGGUUUUCGGACCUAGCGGCGGACGGGUGAGUAAUGCGUAGGAAGCUACCCGAUAGAGGGGGAUACCAGUUGGAAACGACUGUUAAUACCGCAUAAUGUCUACGGACCAAAGUGUGGGACCUUCGGGCCACAUGCUAUCGGAUGCGCCUACGUGGGAUUAGCUAGUUGGUGAGGUAAUGGCUCACCAAGGCGACGAUCCCUAGCUGGUUUGAGAGGAUGAUCAGCCACAAUGGAACUGAGACAGGGGCCAGACUCCUACGGCAGGCAGCAGUGGGGAAUAUUAGACAAUGGGCGCAAGCCUGAUCCAGCCAUGCCGCGUGUGUGAAGAAGGCCUUCGGGUUGUAAAGCACUUUCAGUAGGGAGGAAGCGUUGUGUGUUAAUAGUACACAGCGUUGACGUUACCUACAGAAGAAGCACCGGCUAACUCUGUGCCAGCCGCCGCCGUAAGAC
rnacentral:rRNA from 1 species